ensembl:lncRNA
AUGCUGCAGAACCCACUGUAUAAUCCUGGCCAGAUUCUGGGCACUGGCUGCUCCCUGGGCUCUCCGAAUGUUACGGAAAUGAAGGCUGGGAUGCCUCUCCUGGGCCCUUGGCCUCUCCUCUUCCCCUGGAACAGGAGGAAGAAAGCUCUUUGGGGCCACUGUCGCCCCUCCUCAGAGCCCCAGGCCAAAGGGAGAGAGCAGUCUAGUACAGGGAGUGGCAGGAUUGCUGAGCUGCCCCCGUGUGGUGCUAGGGGGCUCAGGGGCCAGAAUCCCCAGGGACCCCACAGCCAACCCUACCCCGGGCCGUGUGGGGAAGGGGAGAGAAUCACAGACGACAUAAUUUCAACAAGGACGAUUUCUGUCUUUUGCAAGGACCCUUCUAUUAGCAGGAGCAGUCUGGAUGCCCCUCGUCGUAGCCAGUCUCCAGAGAGGCCUACUGCUCACUGAAUGUGUGGAUGAGCAAACCUGAAUGGCCUGGAGGUUGCUGCUGUCUACCCCCACAGGGCCUCCUCCUUGGUCCCCUAAGCAGGCUUCAAAGCUCCAAGACUUCAUGCAGCCUUUUCUGGACUUGGAAGUCAAGAGAAAAUUCACAGAACUUUGGAAAACACGUUUUCUUUUAAGGAAGAAUUUUUUGUUUUCAUUUCAACAGCUCUGGCUGGUGAUGAGAGGUGAAGCGAGUUGCCCUGUUUUCCAUCCUAACACCUAUUUCUAGGUGGGGGCAGGGAGGGCUCCAACCUGAAAUGUUAUUUCAAAACCUUUCCGAGCCUUGCAGCUCCAUUUCCAGGCCACAUGCUACAAAGCACAGCACAAUUUCCCAUUAGGUGCUGUUGCCCUUUCUGUUCUGAGCACCUUUCAAAGUGGGAAGACCCAGCCUGCCCCACCACCCUCCCUCCUGUCCCCAUAAAUUAAGUCUCACUGCCUGAUGUGAGGCUUAAAUAAAUAGCCUUGCCCGGCACCCGAUGGCCACACUCCUGAUAGAUGGGCUUGCCAAGAGCAGCAAACUCAACUCGCUCCUCCGGGCCCCUCCACAGACAGAAGAUGAAACUGGUGUUUUGCAAAUGCUUCCUGCCUGCUUUCUGCCAGCCAAGGCACAUUCCAAGAAGGAGCAGCCCAGCAAAGUCUUGUCAUCUGACGGGGUGAGGACAGAGAUGGAUGACGCGCUCCCUGCCAGAGAAGGCCACGUUCAGACACUCCCAGAUAGCCAGCUGCCACUUUAUUAAGAGCAAAGAUCUCCAUCUGAACCAGGCUGGGAAAGAAAAUAUUUAUGCUUGCCUGUCAGGAGGACCUUCAUUUUUCUUCUGGGGAGCCAGCCAGGGUACUGGCCCAGGGAUGGAGGAGUGUGACGUGCCUGUGGGGUUGCCCCAGGCCCUUCUGCAGCCCAGGGUUGAUGAAGAGUCAAAAAUAUUCCCAGGGCAGCUCUGGAUGGGUUUGGGAGAUUUCAGAAGAGCUGGACUUAGACAGGUCAGGGCCUGAAAAACCAGAACACACCCUGGCACCUGUUAACUGUUAAUGAGAGGACCUGGGCUUGGGAGUGGGUGCUACAGUUAGAAAUCAGGUACAGAUGGGCCAUAAAAUGAUCUCAUUAUUAAUUAAAAACAAAUAGCAGCAUGAAUCUGAUAAGCAACUUUGUACUAAGAAUAAAAUAAUUUUGUAUUGUCAGAAAACGUCAACACUAGAGCGGAGCUUGUCUUUUAAGCUGGGCAUGUAUUAGAAUAAGUUUAUAUUAUGACUUUUCUCAUGGUCAUUAUUUUGAACAAAAGUUGAAAGCCAGUUCUUUAACGGCUUCCGAGAUGCCUGUGCAUCAGCACUUGGGAAAACCUUGCCACACUCUGGGAGACAGCUGUACCCAAUUAUAGUGAGUGAGUCAUAAGGUGCUAGGCUUAGUCCCUAGCACCUUAGGAGUGGAGGCUCCUAAGUCCCUCGCCCUAGGGAGUGGAGGCUUUGGCCAUACAAGAGUGACAGGAUCGUUCUUUUAGACCCCAGUGAGGUUCUUCUCCCCCAGCUCUGAAUGCUGGAUUAUUUGUUAUCCCGACAGAGUGUGCACAUUGGAGUCAGCAGACCUGGGUUCGAAUCCCAGCUCCAUCACUU